rnacentral:rRNA from 1 species
AUUGAACGCUGGCGGCAGGCCUAACACAUGCAAGUCGAGCGGAUGAGAGGAGCUUGCUCCUGGAUUCAGCGGCGGACGGGUGAGUAAUGCCUAGGAAUCUGCCUGGUAGUGGGGGACAACGUUUCGAAAGGAACGCUAAUACCGCAUACGUCCUACGGGAGAAAGCAGGGGACCUUCGGGCCUUGCGCUAUCAGAUGAGCCUAGGUCGGAUUAGCUAGUUGGUGAGGUAAUGGCUCACCAAGGCGACGAUCCGUAACUGGUCUGAGAGGAUGAUCAGUCACACUGGAACUGAGACACGGUCCAGACUCCUACGGGAGGCAGCAGUGGGGAAUAUUGGACAAUGGGCGAAAGCCUGAUCCAGCCAUGCCGCGUGUGUGAAGAAGGUCUUCGGAUUGUAAAGCACUUUAAGUUGGNAGNAANGGCAGUAACUUAAUACGUUGCUGUUUGA